UCAUGAUCUGAGCCGAAGUCAACCCCUUACCUGACUGAGCCACCCAGGCGCCCCUAGAAAACAAAUGUGUUUGAAAUGAAGAUGGGCUCUUAGGCAAAAGUUACGUAUUUGUUUUUCUUGCCUCUUUAUUUCAACUUUCUCUCAAGAGUUGAAUGCAUGGAAUUAAUUGUAGAAAAAUCCAUAGUUUUCAAGGAAAAAAAAUCACAGUAUAAAACACCAUUGUAAAGGAUAUUUAUCAUAGCAGAGAAUGGAAAAAAUCUUAAUUCCCUUAAGGGGAUGCUUAAAUAUGUUAUACUGCACCCAACUGAAGGAAUAUCAUGGCAAAUUUAAUAAUUUCUUUUAUUCUGGAACAUAUGCCUAGAAAUGAGAUUGAAAAGACAAAGCUACUAACAUUGCCUCUGGAUGGGAAUCACAAAUGAUUAAACUUUUUCCCUUUUAGCAUUUUCUCCUAUGAAAAGGUAAUACUUGAGUAAAAAAUUAUUCUAAUAACAAAAGAUAAUAGAAUAUUAAGAGGAAAAAACAGGAUUUUAAACUUCUGUACAUAGCGAAAAGCCUGGUGAGAAGUAGACCAAAAUGUUGAUAAUGAUUAUUUCUUAUACGGCUUUGUAUAUUUUCCAAAAAGAGCGUGGUAUUACUUUAUAGCCAAGGGUAUGGGGGAAGGCAUUUUGGAAGGGACCACUGGCAGAAUAGUGUUUGUACUUCCUUCAAACAUUAUAUAACACACAUUUUUUUUUAUGAGUAAUUCGGGGUCAGGGGAAAUGAAGUUAAAACACUGAAGCUAUUCUGAAUCAGUGAAAAUCAGCAAGUUCACACAGCAGUUCUGAUUAACUGUUUUCCAUUGUGCAGGACAAAGUACAGAGCAUUCAGCCUAUAAAAUUCUGGCCUCCUUUUGUAUAGGUGCGCACUGUGACAGCAUGAGGACAUGAAAGGGGAGCAUUGAUUUCCAUUCUGCCUGCAGAGAAAACAGCUUCUCUGGACUGUUCACUUCUUGGAUGUGGAGAUCCAGCUUUAUAGUUUUAUACCGGACCGAGGCUUUCAGAGCACACCUCCAUCCAUAGCUCAACAAAACUAUUAUCACAACUCCAGGUCUUGGUUCCUACAGCUCAUCAGUCUGUCCCUCCCCUUGCUGUUUUUAUCGGCCUACUUUGGGCCUCAGCAACAAGAAUGUCUUGUUGUACCUGUCCUUUGGGAAUCUUUUCCUACAACAAAUGCUAGAUUGUUCUCACUCCCUGGCUUCCUCGUUUGCUAUCAGUUAGAGUUGCUGAUACUAACAAUGUAUGUGCAGCUUGGUGCUGACAAAAAACCAAACCAAACCAAAAAUAAAUAAAUAAAUAAAAUCCCACAGGACCUAUUAGUUGUCCUAGAAGUUUUCAGUCUUAGUGAAACAGACAAAACAAUUUUGACAGGAAUGCUGCCUUGGAAGAUAACGGAAUCACAAACAGUCUGAGUUGCUGGCUGCCUUCUCUUGUUCUUCCCUUUGCUGCUGCUUCCCUUCUAAGAAGCUUCUAGUCACACUCCUCCCUAGAAGGUGGGGAGGGGAGAGCCAACACUGUUGAGCACUAUUAUGCAUCGGGUUCUGCAUUUGAUUUUCAAAAUCAACCUGUGAGGGAAGUUAUGCCAGAAAUCAAGGAACAGUCGGCUUAGUAUCUUGCCCAAAUCAGUUAACAAGAAUGUGGCCCUGAGACACAUAGGUAUCUUGUUAACGCCUGCACCACGGUCUCCCCUCUUAGAAACUCUGUUGUUGUAUUGGAAGCUUUUCAUGUCAGUCUCCUUCAGGUUCUGGGUUCCUCCAGGGUGUGGACUGUGUCUUCAUGCACAUGAGACAUUCAACAUGUCAUUUUAUUUCCUGCUCUUCUCUUCCCCUACCUAACACUAAACACAGGCUUGACUAUGCUGUCUAAUGAUGUGCCUUGCAUUCUCCAUAAUUCAAGCACAUAUUAGUGUUUAUGCCACUCGGUUUAACUGAGGACAUGCUGUCUAAUGAUGUGCCUUGCAUUCUCCAUAAUUCAAGCACAUAUUAGUGUUUAUGCCACUCGGUUUAACUGAGGAUAUAAUAACACAUGAUAUGAAUAGUACAAAGCAAUAUGUAUAUUAAGUGCUUAUUUGGGCGGUAGAGGAAAGGAUAUUAAUGAGGGCAGUAAUAGGCAUGGUAGAAAUAGACCUCAUAAAAGAUGUGGGAUCUUGAACCAUGGAGAAUGAAUAGAAUUGAGACCACAAGUGGUUACUAAGCUCCUAUCCCAUGAUAGGCCUGGUUCUCCAUAUGGGGAGUGAGGAAUCCGAGUAAAUAAGUCACAGAUAGACUAGAGAGGAGCCUUGGGACUAACUUGGUGCUUUCUAGGAGAAGACACCAAAGCUCAGAGCUGUCACAUAAAGAAUACUGCAUCCUAUGGAGAGACUUAGGCAAAGGGAAUAACUGAACUCUUCUUCCCCCAAAGAAUAUUUUUUAGGAGAGAGUCAAUGGAGAGGUGCCCACUGCCAACUAUUAAUUAGUAUCUUUUAGAUUCACCCUCAGCAAUGCUCCAGUCUCCUCAGGAAUAAAAUCAGUUUUUAAAAGUGUGAGAAGGACACAGCUUUUCCUGGAGAUCUUCCAGCUUUGAGUUAAUUAAUCUCACUUCUGAAGCUGUGAAAUCUUAAGGUAUCACACAGGUCCACAGGGGCCUGGAAAGAAAAUACUUAGACUCAAAAGGAUAACAUUCAUUUAAAUAUGUAAUUCAUCCACAGGCAGGGCUCAGUCUGUACUUUAAGAAGAAUUGUAAACUUUAGGUUGUAAGGAAAGUUAGAACCUGUGGCAACCAUUUUAAUUAUUUUCAGGAGAAAAUUGGAACCCAGGGAGGUCCAGCCCUUCCCCUUGGAUCCCAUAGUAAAUAGGGCUGAAACUGAAGUCUUGCGUCCAAGAACAGUGUUUCAAAUACAUUAAGGUUUAAAGUGGGUGAAAUGUCAGCAUAUAUUAAAAAAAAAAUCACUGGUAAGAGACACAGAGCAUGGGCACUGUGGUUGCUUCUAGGAGGGGAAAAUGAGUGGCCAGGGAACGGGGCGGCCUGGGGGAGAUUUAAUACUCACUGAAUACCUUUUUGUACCUUCUGAAUUUUGUGCUGUGUAUAUGUUACCCAAUCAAAAAAUAAAGAAAAUUAUUUUAAAGAA